GGGGAAUUUUGGACAAUGGGGGCAACCCUGAUCCAGCAAUGCCGCGUGAGUGAAGAAGGCCUUCGGGUUGUAAAGCUCUUUUGUCCGGGAAGAAAUCCCCUGGGAUAACACCUCGGGGGGAUGACGGUACUGGAAGCAUAAGCACCGGCUAACUACGUGCCAGCAGCCGCGGUAAUACGUAGGGUGCGAGCGUUAAUCGGAAUUACUGGGCGUAAAGCGUGCGCAGGCGGUUUUCCAAGACAGAUGUGAAAUCCCCGGGCUCAACCUGGGAAUGGCAUUUGUGACUGGAAGGCUAGAGUGUGUCAGAGGGGGGUAGAAUUCCACGUGUAGCAGUGAAAUGCGUAGAGAUGUGGAGGAAUACCGAUGGCGAAGGCAGCCCCCUGGGAUAACACUGACGCUCAUGCACGAAAGCGUGGGGAGCAAAC
rnacentral:rRNA from 1 species